GCCUCCUUAGCUCAGUCGGUAGAGCGUUUCACUCGUAAUGAAAAGGUCACCAGUUCGAUUCUGGUAGGAGGCU
rnacentral:tRNA from 1 species